AAUCCCGCCACUUUCGUUCCCUAGAUUCCAUUCGCAAGAUUCUACAAACGAUGGACUAUUUGAGGUCUGAAGAUGAAUUUGUGAUCCAAACAAGGUGCCCAAUGGUGAUGAGACAUUUCAGGGAUGAUCUAAGACUGGUUUAGCACCAUUAGAGAGAAUAAUGAGAGAAGAAUUUGGUGAAUAAGAGCUAGCAAUGACCUCGUCAGAAUAUUUAGUACUAAAACAUAUCUUGAAAGGGAAGUUAGUCUCAUCAAAUUAAAGAAAAUAUGUGUGCUGGGUAUUGUUUUUCUAGCUGUAGUUAAACACUUGUAUCCCUUGUGUUGAGGGCCAUAGGCCAUAGCCAAGAAAUACACAAGAUUCACUCCUAUCAUCUAUCUUAUAUGAAUUAUAUGGUCUAGUAUAAGGGAAGCAAAGGCAACCGAAAGUCUUAUUUAAUUACUUUACUUUGAAUAUUUUGUAUUAUUAGUGGAUUGCAAUUUAAACGAAUAUAAGUCUAAGUUUAGUUAUUUAU